rnacentral:rRNA from 1 species
AACGAACGCUGGCGGCAUGCCUAACACAUGCAAGUCGAACGAGACCUUCGGGUCUAGUGGCGCACGGGUGCGUAACGCGUGGGAAUCUGCCCUUGGGUUCGGAAUAACAGUUAGAAAUGACUGCUAAUACCGGAUAAUGUCUUCGGACCAAAGAUUUAUCGCCCAGGGAUGAGCCCGCGUAGGAUUAGCUAGUUGGUGAGGUAAAGGCUCACCAAGGCGACGAUCCUUAGCUGGUCUGAGAGGAUGGUCAGCCACACUGGGACUGAGACACGGCCCAGACUCCUACGGGAGGCAGCAGUGGGGAAUAUUGGACAAUGGGCGAAAGCCUGAUCCAGCAAUGCCGCGUGAGUGAUGAAGGCCUUAGGGUUGUAAAGCUCUUUACCCGGGAUGAUAAUGACAGUACCGGAGAAUAAGCCCCGGCUAACUCCGUGCCAGCAGCCGCGGUAAU